GACGAACGCUGGCGGCGUGCUUAACACAUGCAAGUCGAGCGAGUGGAUUCCCUUCGGGGAUGAAGCUAGCGGCGGACGGGUGAGUAACACGUGGGCAACCUGCCUUAUAGAGGGGGAUAGCCUUCCGAAAGGAAGAUUAAUACCGCAUAACAUCAGAUUAUCGCAUGGUAGACUGAUCAAAGGAGCAAUCCGCUAUAAGAUGGGCCCGCGUCGCAUUAGCUAGUUGGUGAGGUAACGGCUCACCAAGGCGACGAUGCGUAGCCGACCUGAGAGGGUGAUCGGCCACAUUGGGACUGAGACACGGCCCAGACUCCUACGGGAGGCAGCAGUGGGGAAUAUUGCACAAUGGGGGAAACCCUGAUGCAGUAACGCCGCGUGAGUGAUGAAGGCCUUCGGGUUGUAAAGCUCUUUGUUCAGGGACGAUAAUGACGGUACCUGAAGAACAAGCCACGGCUAACUACGUGCCAGCAGCCGCCGUAAAAC
rnacentral:rRNA from 1 species